GGCAGUUCUUGAGUGACACACACUGGAAUUGGGCUCUGUCCUCUCUGGUUUCAUGGUACAUCACCAGAGAACUGCC
rfam:Myotis brandtii contig260928, whole genome shotgun sequence.